GGUUAAGCGACUAAGCGUACACGGUGGAUGCCCUGGCAGUCAGAGGCGAUGAAGGACGUGCUAAUCUGCGAAAAGCGUCGGUAAGGUGAUAUGAACCGUUAUAACCGGCGAUGUCCGAAUGGGGAAACCCAGUGCAAUUCGUUGCACUAUCGUUAACUGAAUACAUAGGUUAACGAGGCGAACCGGGGGAACUGAAACAUCUAAGUACCCCGAGGAAAAGAAAUCAACCGAGAUUCCCCCAGUAGCGGCGAGCGAACGGGGAGCAGCCCAGAGUCUGAAUCAGCUUGUGUGUUAGUGGAACGGUCUGGAAAGUCCGACGGUACAGGGUGAUAGUCCCGUACACCAAAAUGCACAGGCUGUGAACUCGAAGAGUAGGGCGGGACACGUGGUAUCCUGUCUGAAUAUGGGGGGACCAUCCUCCAAGGCUAAAUACUCCUGACUGACCGAUAGUGAACCAGUACCGUGAGGGAAAGGCGAAAAGAACCCCGGCGAGGGGAGUGAAAAAGAACCUGAAACCGUGUACGUACAAGCAGUGGGAGCACCUUCGGGUGUGACUGCGUACCUUUUGUAUAAUGGGUCAGCGACUUAUAUUCUGUAGCAAGGUUAACCGUAUAGGGGAGCCGCAGGGAAACCGAGUCUUAACUGGGCGUUAAGUUGCAGGGUAUAGACCCGAAACCCGGUGAUCUAGCCAUGGGCAGGUUGAAGGUUGGGUAACACUAACUGGAGGACCGAACCGACUAAUGUUGAAAAAUUAGCGGAUGACUUGUGGCUGGGGGUGAAAGGCCAAUCAAACCGGGAGAUAGCUGGUUCUCCCCGAAAGCUAUUUAGGUAGCGCCUCGUGAAUUCAUCUUCGGGGGUAGAGCACUGUUUCGGCUAGGGGGUCAUCCCGACUUACCAACCCGAUGCAAACUACGAAUACCGAAGAAUGUUAUCACGGGAGACACACGGCGGGUGCUAACGUCCGUCGUGAAGAGGGAAACAACCCAGACCGCCAGCUAAGGUCCCAAAGUCAUGGUUAAGUGGGAAACGAUGUGGGAAGGCACAGACAGCCAGGAUGUUGGCUUAGAAGCAGCCAUCAUUUAAAGAAAGCGUAAUAGCUCACUGGUCGAGUCGGCCUGCGCGGAAGAUGUAACGGGGCUAAACCAUGCACCGAAGCUGCGGCAGCGACACUAUGUGUUGUUGGGUAGGGGAGCGUUCUGUAAGCCUGCGAAGGUGACCUGUGAGGGUUGCUGGAGGUAUCAGAAGUGCGAAUGCUGACAUAAGUAACGAUAAAGCGGGUGAAAAGCCCGCUCGCCGGAAGACCAAGGGUUCCUGUCCAACGUUAAUCGGGGCAGGGUGAGUCGACCCCUAAGGCGAGGCCGAAAGGCGUAGUCGAUGGGAAACAGGUUAAUAUUCCUGUACUUGGUGUUACUGCGAAGGGGGGACGGAGAAGGCUAUGUUAGCCGGGCGACGGUUGUCCCGGUUUAAGCAUGUAGGCUGGUUAUCCAGGCAAAUCCGGAUAAUCAAGGCUGAGGUGUGAUGACGAGGCACUACGGUGCUGAAGUAACAAAUGCCCUGCUUCCAGGAAAAGCCUCUAAGCAUCAGGUAACAUCAAAUCGUACCCCAAACCGACACAGGUGGUCAGGUAGAGAAUACCAAGGCGCUUGAGAGAACUCGGGUGAAGGAACUAGGCAAAAUGGUGCCGUAACUUCGGGAGAAGGCACGCUGGUGUGUAGGUGAAGCCCCUGCGGGUGGAGCUGAGACCAGUCGAAGAUACCAGCUGGCUGCAACUGUUUAUUAAAAACACAGCACUGUGCAAACACGAAAGUGGACGUAUACGGUGUGACGCCUGCCCGGUGCCGGAAGGUUAAUUGAUGGGGUUAUCCGUAAGGAGAAGCUCUUGAUCGAAGCCCCGGUAAACGGCGGCCGUAACUAUAACGGUCCUAAGGUAGCGAAAUUCCUUGUCGGGUAAGUUCCGACCUGCACGAAUGGCGUAAUGAUGGCCAGGCUGUCUCCACCCGAGACUCAGUGAAAUUGAACUCGCUGUGAAGAUGCAGUGUACCCGCGGCAAGACGGAAAGACCCCGUGAACCUUUACUAUAGCUUGACACUGAACAUUGAGCCUUGAUGUGUAGGAUAGGUGGGAGGCUUUGAAGCGUGGACGCCAGUCUGCGUGGAGCCAACCUUGAAAUACCACCCUUUAAUGUUUGAUGUUCUAACGUUGGCCCCUUACCGGGGUUGCGGACAGUGUCUGGUGGGUAGUUUGACUGGGGCGGUCUCCUCCCAAAGCGUAACGGAGGAGCACGAAGGUUAGCUAAUCCUGGUCGGACAUCAGGAGGUUAGUGCAAUGGCAUAAGCUAGCUUGACUGCGAGCGUGACGGCGCGAGCAGGUGCGAAAGCAGGUCAUAGUGAUCCGGUGGUUCUGAAUGGAAGGGCCAUCGCUCAACGGAUAAAAGGUACUCCGGGGAUAACAGGCUGAUACCGCCCAAGAGUUCAUAUCGACGGCGGUGUUUGGCACCUCGAUGUCGGCUCAUCACAUCCUGGGGCUGAAGUAGGUCCCAAGGGUAUGGCUGUUCGCCAUUUAAAGUGGUACGCGAGCUGGGUUUAGAACGUCGUGAGACAGUUCGGUCCCUAUCUGCCGUGGGCGCUGGAGAAUUGAGGGGGGCUGCUCCUAGUACGAGAGGACCGGAGUGGACGCAUCACUGGUGUUCGGGUUGUCAUGCCAAUGGCACUGCCCGGUAGCUAAAUGCGGAAGAGAUAAGUGCUGAAAGCAUCUAAGCACGAAACUUGCCCCGAGAUGAGUUCUCCCUGAGACUAUAAGUCUCCUGAAGGAACGUUAAAGACGAUGACGUUGAUAGGCCGGGUGUGUAAGCGCAGCGAUGCGUUGAGCUAACCGGUACUAAUGAACCGUGAGGCUUAACCUU
rnacentral:rRNA from 1 species